rnacentral:rRNA from 1 species
CUCAAACUGGGAACUGCGUUCUGAACUGGGUGACUAGAGUGUGUCAGAGGGAGGUAGAAUUCCACGUGUAGCAGUGAAAUGCGUAGAGAUGUGGAGGAAUACCGAUGGCGAAGGCAGCCUCCUGGGAUAACACUGACGUUCAUGCUCGAAAGCGUGGGUAGCAAACAGGAUUAGAUACCCUGGUAGUCCACGCCCUAAACGAUGUCAAUUAGCUGUUGGGCAACUUGAUUGCUUAGUAGCGUAGCUAACGCGUGAAAUUGACCGCCUGGGGAGUACGGUCGCAAGAUUAAAACUCAAAGGAAUUGACGGGGACCCGCACAAGCGGUGGAUGAUGUGGAUUAAUUCGAUGCAACGCGAAGAACCUUACCUGGUCUUGACAUGUACGGAAUCCUCCAGAGACGGAGGAGUGCCUUCGGGAGCCGUAACACAGGUGCUGCAUGGCUGUCGUCAGCUCGUGUCGUGAGAUGUUGGGUUAAGUCCCGCAACGAGCGCAACCCUUGUCAUUAGUUGCCAUCAUUUAGUUGGGCACUCUAAUGAGACUGCCGGUGACAAGCCGGAGGAAGGUGGGGAUGACGUCAAGUCCUCAUGGCCCUUAUGACCAGGGCUUCACACGUCAUACAAUGGUCGGUACAGAGGGUAGCCAAGCCGCGAGGUGGAGCCAAUCUCACAAAACCGAUCGUAGUCCGGAUUGCACUCUGCAACUCGAGUGCAUGAAGUCGGAAUCGCUAGUAAUCGCAGGUCAGCAUACUGCGGUGAAUACGUUCCCGGGUCUUGUACACACCGCCCGUCACACCAUGGGAGUGGGGGAUACCAGAAGUAGGUAGGGUAACCGCAAGGAGCC